rnacentral:rRNA from 1 species
GUCAACAACCAUGCCAUACUGAACUUGAUCAAACUCCUUUGAUCUUGGAAGCUAAGCAGGGUCAGGGUCUGCUUAGUAUCUGGAAAUAAUUAAAAAUUAGAUUCCUGUUUUUC